AUUAGUUUGAUCCUGGCUCAGGAUGAACGCUGGCUGUAUGCCUAACACAUGCAAGUCGUACGAAAGUUUUUAACUUUAGUGGCGGACGGGUGAGUAACACGUGAGAAUUUGCCUUUAGGAGGGGGACAACAAUUGGAAACGAAUGCUAAUACCCCAUAUGCUUUCGAGUGAAAUGGAUUUAUAUUUAUCCGCCUAGAGAGAAGCUCGCGGCUGAUUAGCUUGUUGGUAAGGUAAGAGCUUACCAAGGCGACGAUCAGUAUCUGGUUUGAGAGGACGACCAGACACACUGGAACUGAGACACGGUCCAGACUCCUACGGGAGGCAGCAGUGGGGAAUAUUGCGCAAUGGGGGAAACCCUGACGCAGCCAUGCCGCGUGUGUGAAGAAGGCCUUAGGGUUGUAAAGCACUUUCAGCGGGGAGGAAAAGUUGGUCGUUAAUAGCGGCCAGCCGUGACGUUACCCGCAGAAGAAGCACCGGCUAAUUCAGUGCCAGCAGCCGCGGUAAUACUGAAGGUGCAAGCGUUAAUCGGAAUUACUGGGCGUAAAGCGCGCGUAGGCGGCUUGUUAAGUCGGAUGUGAAAGCCCUGGGCUCAACCCGGGAACUGCAUACGAUACUGGCAAGCUAGAGUAUGGGAGAGGGCUGUGGAAUUUCUAGUGUAGCGGUGAAAUGCGUAGAUAUUAGAAGGAACAUCAGUGGCGAAGGCGGCAGCCU
rnacentral:rRNA from 1 species